AGGGCUGGGCAUGCGCUCGGCGGGGCCUCCGGCUCUCGGGGACGCGCACGGCGGGGCUCGCAGGGGCUGAACGCGCUCAGCUUCCUGGGGACUCCCCGACCCAAGCCAUGCAGUUCGCGCGCGUCGGGGGUGUGCGCUGGCAGCCGGAAAGUCGAAUAUCACUUCCUAUCCUGCAUCUGACGUGCUUUGGGGUUGAAAAAGCCCUUAUGUGGUAAAAAAUGUCAGAAAAGUGGCAAAAGUCUUCAAGGGCCUGAAAAUGGCCGAGACCGGAACUGAGAAGCUGGCAGUAGGUCCUGCUACUGCUGCAGGGGCGGCGGGCGCGCUGGGUGGGCCACGCGGCAGGGACAGCCGAGGCUCCGCGCCCACCUCACCCGCAAGGGGCCAAGCGCAGACUCAGGGGAGCCAGAGGGGCCGGACCCCUGAGCGAGGACUGGGGAAGGAUCCCAAGCUUGGAUAUUUGGAAAUGAAGAUGUGAUAUUUCACCCACCGACUCGUUCCGCAUGACCAAGGCCUGUGCCUGCCCUGAGGGCGAGUUGGUUGAGCCUUGUACAGACAACUCUCAGAGCGUGGGCCUGGGCCGAACCUUUCCCUGUGAGUAGCAGCAUCAGCGUCUAGAACGACGUCCCUCCCCGUCCACAGUGGAAGGUGCGGAGCUCCCGUGGUGUGCUGGCAGCCGUUCGCAGAAGGGAGAUGGAGGAGCACAGGGCAGAUCCUCGCACGGAGUCAUCGAGGUCCGGGGACACCUUCCUCCCAGGUCAGUGAAUUCACAAAGGCACCACACGUUAAUCCUUGGAGACAACCAUUCUGAUGUGGCUAAGGCCAAAACAUGGUUUUCAGGAAACCAACUUUUUGAUAAAUGACAAAACCUGAAUGCACGAGAAAUGUAUCUCAUUUUAAUGCCUGACUUCUAAGCAUCCUUAUUCAACAUAUUAUAUGUAUUUUUUGUUUCAUGAGUAAAAUGUGCAUUGAGCUUCCUCCAAUAGCUGUCCAUAGACCAGCCACUAUCACUGCCAUCAUUAUUUUGUUUCUAAACUUUUCGUUUACACGUGUAGGUCUAGCUUUUUCCUCCAUAUUGAUGAAAUAAAACUCACUCAUUUCACAACUCAAAGCCAGGGCCUUCAGUUCACAGCCCGUUGCCUCAGACGGCCUUUCCUAUAUCUUAUUGCUUCACUGUCUGACUCACUCCAGCGUGUUUCAGCCAAAUAUACUUGUUUUUAUUCAUCUUGCUCUCUUUUCCUCCCUCCCCCAACUCCCCUUUUCCCUCUGUCUCUUUGUCUCUUUCUCUCUCCCCCAUCCCUCCCUCUCUUCCCCUUUCUCUCUGGAUGCCCUCUCUCCCUCUCUGCCUGUUUUUCUUCUCUGUGUCUGGCUCCAUAAUAUUCAGAAAUCCCAACAGGAGCAGCUGGAGCUAGUAAAGAAACCCCAGAGUCCUGUGCUGCUGCCCUUGCCUCCUCCAACUGGUGAGCCCAGUCGGCCCAUUUUUAGGCAGUGCUGUGUUUGGAAAUGGGCCCUUCCUCUGGGGUCCGCUGCUUCCCUCUGCCUGACUCAGAAGAAUGAGCCAAGAGGGAAGAACAGCUUGUAUUAGGGAGAGGGUCCCUUGUGCUGUUGCCUUUUUCUGAAUCAUUUCAAUCAUGUUUGCCAAAUUCCUUACAAAGUUCUGUUCCCUCGUUUGACAAUGAGCAGAGGCAGGAGAGAUGAAUUGCUAAAUGGUUGUAUCCCACACCGUGCUGGAAGGCUCAGCAGAACAGAGACCUGUGUCAAGCAGGGCUUCCUUCUCCACCAGGCCCUUCAGCCUGCAUUUUAACCUGUGACUUGCGAGGAGAUAGCCUGUGAUCACACCACAGGCCUGCUUACAUUACAGGAAGCAAAAUGCCAAUUCCUUCUACCCCUUUCCCCCCCGGUAGAAACCCUGCUAGUUCUUUUUAAAAAAGGGAGAGAGAUCAUGUAUAGAAAACCUUUUUUACAAUUUAUUUCCUGUUGUUAAUCUUUAAAAAUGAGGUUCUAGCUAAGUGCAGGGUUUCAGUGAUGAAAUUUUGACCAUGUGAACACAUAAAUAAAUAUUUACAGUCUUUGGCAAAACACAUGACGUUUCAUCAACCUAUACGAUAAAUUUGUUUAGAAAAACAUAAAUAAUUUACAAAAAAUAUGGUACAUCCUAAAUAUUCACAUCAUCAUCAUUCCCACACCGUUGUACGGUUGACCCCACAACACGGAAACAGAAAAACCUGCACGCUGUUGACAGUCGCUACAUUUAAUGAAGUCUCCCAACACUUCGUUGGUCUUGGGAAUACAGCUCCACACAAAAAAGUAAAAAGUGCAGCAAAACAACAACACAACGAUCAACCUCAAAGGAAACAAAAAUAAUUUUAUCAAAAUGCAAUGUGUACAUUAAGACUAAAGUUAUGGAUCGUUCCUAUUUGGCAUAGAAAUGUGAUGACUAUUAACAGAAAGGGGAAAAAGAUUUGCCCCCUAUCAGACAGACAGACUUCUCUUACUAAACCCCUUAUGUGGAGUGGGAUGAGCGACUAUUUCCUGCAGAAAGAUCAUGCAACUUAAAGCAAAAAAACAAACCAACAAAAAAACAAAAACAAA